GUAUUGGACUACCAUGGCAGUCACGGGUAACGGAGAAUUAGGGUUCGAUUCCGGAGAGGGAGCCUGAGAAACGGCUACCACAUCUACGGAAGGCAGCAGGCGCGUAAAUUACCCAAUCCUGAUUCAGGGAGGUAGUGACAAGAAAUAACAACUCGGGCAUUUUUAAUGCUUCGAAUUUGCAAUGGGAACAAUCUAAAUCACUUAUCGAGGAACAAUUGGAGGGCAAGUCUGGUGCCAGCAGCCGCGGUAAUUCCAGCUCCAAUAGCGUAUAUUAAAGUUGUUGCAGUUAAAAAGCUCGUAGUUGAAUUUCUGAUUAUGAAUGUACUGGGUAACCGGUCCAUUUAUAGUCAUCCACAUGAGAACCUAUCUCGGCCUUCACUGGUCGGUUGGGGGAUCAUGUACUUUACUUUGAAAAAAUCAGAGUGUUUCAGGCAGGCGUUUGCAUGAAUACACAAGCAUGGAAUAAUGGAAUAGGACUAGGGUCCAUUUUAUUGGUUAUUGGACCAUAGUAAUGAUUAAUAGGGACAGUUGGGGGCAUUAGUAUUUAAUUGUCAGAGGUGAAAUUCUUGGAUUUAUUAAAGACUAACUUAUGCGAAAGCAUUUGCCAAGGAUGUUUUCAUUAAUCAAGAACGAAAGUUAGGGGAUCAAAGACGAUCAGAUACCGUC
rnacentral:rRNA from 1 species